UUAGCGGCGGACGGGUGAGUAACACGUGGAUAACCUACCUAUAAGACUGGGAUAACUUCGGGAAACCGGAGCUAAUACCGGAUAACAUGUUGAACCGCAUGGUUCAACAGUGAAAGACGGUUUUGCUGUCACUUAUAGAUGGAUCCGCGCCGCAUUAGCUAGUUGGUAAGGUAACGGCUUACCAAGGCAACGAUGCGUAGCCGACCUGAGAGGGUGAUCGGCCACACUGGAACUGAGACACGG
rnacentral:rRNA from 1 species